rnacentral:rRNA from 1 species
GGUUGAUCCUGCCAGUAGUCAUAUGCUUGUCUCAAAGAUUAAGCCAUGCAUGUCUAAGUAUAAACACUUGUACUGUGAAACUGCGAAUGGCUCAUUAAAUCAGUUAUAAUUUAUUUGAUAGUACCUUACUACUUGGAUAACCGUGGUAAUUCUAGAGCUAAUACAUGCAUCAAAACCCGACUUAUUGGAGGGUUGUAUUUAUUAGAUAAAAACCAAUGCAGCUUGCUGCUCUUGGUGAUUCAUAAUAACUUCUCGGAUCGUAUGACCUUGUGUCGACGACGUAUCAUUCAAAU